rnacentral:rRNA from 1 species
CAAUGGCGUAUAUUUAAGUUGUUGCAGUUAAAAAGCUCGUAGUUGGAUUUCGGAUGGGACUUGCCGGUCCGUCGUUUCGAUGUGCACUGGCCAGUCCUAUCUUGUUGUCGGGGACUAGCUCCUGGGCUUCACUGUCCGGGACUAGGAGCUGACGAGGUUACUUUGAGUAAAUUAGAGUGUUCAAAGCAAGCCUACGCUCUGAAUACAUUAGCAUGGAAUAACACGAUAGGACUCUGGCUUAUCUUGUUGGUCUGUGAGACCAGAGUAAUGAUUAAGAGGGACAGUCGGGGGCAUUCGUAUUUCAUUGUCAGAGGUGAAAUUCUUGGAUUUAUGAAAGACGAACUUCUGUGAAAGCAUUUGUCAAGGAUGUUUUCAUUAA